CUACCCUUGACAUGUCUGGAAUCCUGAAGAGAUUUGGGAGUGCUCGAAAGAGAGCCAGAACACAGGUGCUGCAUGGCCGUCGUCAGCUCGUGUCGUGAGAUGUUGGGUUAAGUCCCGCAACGAGCGCAACCCUUGUCAUUAGUUGCUACGAAAGGGCACUCUAAUGAGACUGCCGGUGACAAACCGGAGGAAGGUGGGGAUGACAUCAGGUCAUCAUGGCCCUUAUGGGUAGGGCUACACACGUCAUACAAUGGCCGGUACAGAGGGCUGCCAACCCGCGAGGGGGAGCCAAUCCCAGAAAACCGGUCGUAGUCCGGAUCGUAGUCUGCAACUCGACUGCGUGAAGUCGGAAUCGCUAGUAAUCGCGGAUCAGCUUGCCGCGGUGAAUACGUUCCC
rnacentral:rRNA from 1 species